rnacentral:rRNA from 1 species
CACCAUAGGACUGGCCGUCCCAUAUGAAAAGAUUAUAUUAGAAUUGAAUGAAGCUUUGUUUAUAUAUUGAUAAUGACAGUAUAUAUAUCGUGUCUUGACUAAUUGCGUGCCAGCAGUCGCGGUAAUACGUAAGAGACUAGUGUUAUUCAUCUUAAUUAGGUUUAAAGGGUACCCAGACGGUCAAUAUAGCUUAUAAAAUGUUAGUACUUGACUAGAGUUUUAUGUAAGAGGGCAGUACUUGAGGAGGAGAGAUGAAAUUUCGUGAUACCAAAGGGACUCUGUAAAGGCGAAGGCAGCCCUCUAUGUAAAAACUGACGUUGAAGGACGAAGGCACAGAGAACAAACAGGAUUAGAUACCCAAGUAGUCUUUGCAGUAAAUGAUGAAUGCCAUAGGUUAGAUGGGUCAAUUAUAGUCUAGGGUUAGUCUAGCAAACUAAUACCCUAUGCUAUAAUUCCUAAUAUCUGGUCUAUAAAUGAAAGUGUAAGCAUUUCACCUCAAGAGUAAUGUGGCAACGCAGGAAC